ACUGGAGGAGGAGGAGAAAGAGAAAUUAAUUAAUCUCACAAAGAAGCAGGUGCACUAAAUAGGAAUGUCUAAGCUUUCUGUUCAGCUAUGUUUACCUUUGGACUAAAGGGAAAAGACACGGUUUUCUUUUAAGAAAGAAUAAGAGGUUGAAAUGAAAUAAGAGCCAGUGGGGAUCAACGGAAGAGAAGAACCGCUGUAAAACAGGAAGAAAAGUCCAUUUUCAUCUUCUCUUUACAUUUUGUAACAAUGUAGGCUACCUCUUUACUAACAAGAUUUUAUGAAAACAGUGCUUCCAUAUUUAAAAGUAAUGACAAUAUUAUAUGUAAAAGACCUAAUUAUCAGAUUAGAAUAUCAUUUUAGGAAUAAUUUUUUAAAGGCAUAAACCAAAGAUCAUUUCAUGCCCCUCUCCCACUACUAAAAUGCAAAUCAUGCCACAAUGUUCCAACAGGUCAAUUUAAUAAUCUUUUUCUCUCCUUUGAGGCUCUAGUAUACAUAUCACUUCUCCUAUUAGGUAGGAGGUAAUUUAUGUCACCUGGAUUUGCUGGUGUGCUUCUAAUUAAGCUAUUUCAUUAAUAAAUCACAUAGUAACUGUGUCCUGCAAUAAAAAUCAUGUGCUGCAUAGGACCUGAGAAAUGUAUCACUAUGCUGAAUUUCAGAUGACACCCUAAUUUCUCUUGCAAAAACACAUUUACCUUUAAAUUGUUCAUGUGUACAUGUGUGUAUAUAUUUCACUUAAAUAUCCAAUCUGAUCCAAAGUAUAUUUUUACUGAGAUAGCUGAAUAAAUUUGAAUUGAGAU